AUUUUGAGUAAGUAAAAGGUUGGGUAAAUUAAAAACAAAAGAACUCGAUUGUUGGGUAACAAAAAAAUAUGGUUAUUUCCAAAGCACGACUCACUGAGGUAUUGGGGACUAAAAAGCAAUGCCAACAGUGGGCCCUACUUUGGGGCGAUAACGUUGAGUUUAAGCGAUUUUAGGUAAUUUAAGCAAAAUCUGCAACUUUUAAGCAAUGUGGGUUUGAGCAAUAUAGGGCGAUCCAAGACAUUUAAGAAAACAAUUAAAAUUUUAGGGAAUGCAGUUUUAGGUGCUAAUAGUGGUAAUUUCAGGAAUAUAUGACAAUAACCCUGAUGACUCCAGUGAAAUUAUAACCAUAAACCCAUGCCAAGUAUACAAACAUGAGUGUUCUCACAAACACACACAUGCAGUGUAUGAAGCAUAAUAUACUUUAACCUUAAUGGAGAAUUUGACAAGAAAAGUUGAAGUCCGCUUGAGGGGGUUCUGCAAACAAACAAUACACUGUAUGC